AACCGCGGGAAACUGCGGCUAAUACCCUAUGACCCCUGUGGGGGAAAGAUUUAUCGCCAUUGGAGGGGCCCGCGUCGGAUUAGGUAGUUGGUAGGGUAACGGCCUACCAAGCCUUCGAUCCGUAGCUGGUCUGAGAGGAUGAUCAGCCACACUGGGACUGAGAUACGGCCCAGACUCCUACGGGAGGCAGCAGUGGGGAAUAUUGGACAAUGGGGGCAACCCUGAUCCAGCAAUGCCGCGUGAGUGAUGAAGGCCUUCGGGUUGUAAAGCUCUUUCGGCGGGGAAGAUGAUGACGGUACCCGCAGAAGAAGCCCCGGCUAACUUCGUGCCAGCAGCCGCGGUAAUACGAAGGGGGCUAGCGUUGUUCGGAAUUACUGGGCGUAAAGGGCGCGUAGGCUGUGCUGUAAGUCAGGCGUGAAAUCCCCGGGCUCAACCUGGGAAUUGCGCAUGAUACUGCGGCGCUUGAAGAC
rnacentral:rRNA from 1 species